AAGCGGUGGAGCAUGUGGUUUAAUCGAAGCAACGCGAAGAACCUUACCAGGUCUUGACAUCCGAUGCUUAUUUCUAGAGAUAGAAAGUUACUUCGGUACAUCGGUGACAGGUGGUGCAUGGUUGUCGUCAGCUCGUGUCGUGAGAUGUUGGGUUAAGUCCCGCAACGAGCGCAACCCCUAUUGUUAGUUGCCAUCAUUCAGUUGGGCACUCUAGCGAGACUGCCGGUAAUAAACCGGAGGAAGUGGGAUGACGUCAAAUCAUCAUGCCCUUAUGACCUGGGCUACACACGUGCUACAAUGGUUGGUACAACGAGUUGCGAGUCGGUGACGGCGAGCUAAUCUCUUAAAGCCAAUCUCAGUUCGGAUUGUAGGCUGCAACUCGCCUACAUGAAGUCGGAAUCGCUAGUAAUCGCGGAUCAGCACGCCGCGGUGAAUACGUUCCCGGGCCUU
rnacentral:rRNA from 1 species